rnacentral:tRNA from 1 species
GCCUUCGUGGUGUAGUGGUCAGCACGUUCGGCGCGUGUCGAGAGGUCCGUGGUUCGAUUCCCGGUGACGGCA